UCAAAAUAGAUAUAGGAUAAAUUUUGACUUACCUAGUCGAUUGAGACAUUUGUCUAAUCGAUUAGCUCAGUUCAAAAUUAAGCCAUAAGUGAUUGGGACAACGCCUUAAUGAUGUGCAACUACUACAUAUCUUUUUCUUCCUUUUAUAAACUUACAAUCAAUUGUAUUUCAAAAUUCUAAUCGAUUGUGAAUAUGUUCCAAUCGAUUAGAAUGUCAUAAAAA
rnacentral:lncRNA from 1 species